rnacentral:rRNA from 1 species
UACGUAGGGACCAAGCGUUGUCCGGAAUCAUUGGGCGUAAAGAGCGUGUAGGCGGCUUGUUAAGUCUUGCGUGAAAUCUCGGGGCUCAACCCCGGGCGGUCGUGAGAAACUGGCAGGCUAGAGUGCGGGAGAGGAGAGUGGAAUUCCUGGUGUAGCGGUGAAAUGCGCAGAUAUCAGGAAGAACACCCGUGGCGAAGGCGGCUCUCUGGAACGCAACUGACGCUGAGACGCGAAAGCGUGGGGAGCAAACAGG